AGCUUUUUUCGCGGCAGAGCUCGACCGCCCACACACGUAGUCGUCCGGUUCAUCGACGACAACCGGGAGGAAUUCGGGGUCGAGCCGAUUAUUCGCGCCU
rfam:Corynebacterium timonense strain DSM 45434 genome assembly, chromosome: I